rnacentral:rRNA from 1 species
UGUAAGAUCGACUAUGUUGACUAAAGUUCUAGAUAGAGUUAUGAUAAUGACAUUUUCUAUCUAUGUGUCUUGACCAAAUCACGUGCCAGCAGUCGCGGUAAUACGUGGGAGACUAGUGUUAUUCAUCUUUAAUAGGUUUAAAGGGUACUUAGACUGUUGAUUAAGCCUACUAAACAACUAGAGUUUUAUGCAAGAAGGGGAGUACUAAAGAGUGUAGAGAUGAAAUUCUGUCAUACCUGACUUGGAACAGACAACGGCGAAAGCGACCUUUUAUGUAAAAACUGACGUUGAAAGACGAAGGCUUAGGACACCAACAGGAUUAGAUACCCCAGCAGUCUAAGCAGACAAUGAUGAAUGUCAUAGAUUAGAAGUAUAAUUUUGUCUAUAAAUGAAAGUGUAAGCAUUCCACCUCAAGAGUAAUGUGGCAACGCAGGAACUGAAAUCAUUAGACCGUUUCUGAAACCAGUAGUGAAGUAUGUUGUUUAAUUUGUCGGUCCGCAAAACACCUUACCACAAUUUGAAUAGUUUUUACAAGCGUUGCACGGCUGUUUUCAGUUAAUGUCGUGAGACUUUGGUUAGUUCCAUAAAAUUAACGUAAACCCUUACUUUAUUUUAAAGUAGUUCACCGCUAUAUUGGAUAUGAUAAAAGGGAAUAAGACAAGUCCAUCUGGCCUUAAUAUUGUGGGCUAUAGACGUGCCACAUAAGCCUCUACAAAGG